rnacentral:pre_miRNA from 1 species
UGGAGGAACAACCCCAGUGGCGGAGGCCAGGUCUGGAAACCCGGAUUCAUCUCCCGCAGGAACUACUGAGCUCUCCGUCUGCAGGGCCUGGAGGCUCCGGGGCGGG